UUGGAGGGCAAGUCUGGUGCCAGCAGCCGCGGUAAUUCCAGCUCCAAUAGCGUAUAUUAAAGUUGUUGCAGUUAAAAAGCUCGUAGUUGAAUUUUAGACUUGAUCUCAUGGUCCAUCCAAUGGAUGAGUACUGUUUUGAUUGGGACUUCAUUUCUGAUAAACUUUUAUUCCCUUUAUUGGGUGUAAUAGGGAAGCAGGACCAUUACCUUGAAAAAAUUAGAGUGUUCAAAGCAGGCAAAAUUGCUCGAAUACAUUAGCAUGGAAUAAUAAAAUAGGACGGAUGAAUCUAUUUUGUUGGUUUCUAGGACCACCGUAAUGAUUAAUAGGGAUAGUUGGGGGCAUUAGUAUUCAAUUGUCAGAGGUGAAAUUCUUGGAUUUAUUGAAGACUAACUACUGCGAAAGCAUUUGCCAAGGAUGUUUUCAUUAAUCAAGAACGAAAGUUAGGGGAUCGAAGACGAUCAGAUACCGUCGUAGUCUUAACCAUAAACUAUGCCGACUAGGAAUCGGAAUUUGUUAUUAUAAUGACAAGUCCGGCGCCUUAC
rnacentral:rRNA from 1 species